rnacentral:rRNA from 1 species
UACGUAGGGGGCAAGCGUUGUCCGGAUUUAUUGGGCGUAAAGAGCUCGUAGGUGGUUCGGUAAGUCGGAUGUGAAAUCUCCAGGCUCAACCUGGAGGGGUCAUUCGAUACUGCCGUGACUAGAGUUCGGUAGGGGAGUGUGGAAUUCCUGGUGGAGCGGUGAAAUGCGCAGAUAUCAGGAGGAACACCCGUAGCGAAGGCGGCACUCUGGGCCUUACCUGACACUGAGGAGCGAAAGCGUGGGGAGCGAACAGG